rnacentral:tRNA from 1 species
GGGCGUUCCAGACCGUUCACACGCCUUCACACGGCGGGGGUCACAGGUUCAAACCCUGUACUGCCCACCA